CAAUCACUUGCCUUUUAAAUGAGGGCCUGUAUGAAUGGCAUAACGAGGGCUUAACUGUCUCCUCUCCCUAGUCAAUGAAAUUGAUCUCCCCGUGCAGAAGCGGGGAUAAAAACAUAAGACGAGAAGACCCUGUGGAGCUUUAGACCAUAAAUAGACCAUGUCAAGGACAACAACAAAUUACUCAAACAAAUUGGCUACUGUUUUUAUGUCUUUGGUUGGGGCGACCGCGGGAAAAUAAGAAUCUCCCAUGAGGAUAGAGAAAACCCUAUUCUUAUAGCCAAGAGCUUCCCCUCUAAGUAACAGAACAUCUGACCUUUAUGAUCCGGCCUGGCCGAUCAACGGACCGAGUUACCCCAGGGAUAACAGCGCAAUCCUCUUUUAGAGUCCA
rnacentral:rRNA from 1 species